rnacentral:antisense_RNA from 1 species
GUAGCUAUCACGAACUUCUUGGGGCCAAACGGAGGUCUGAACUUCUCCAAUAUGUUGUUUACGCAACAAAAACAUGACCAUACGUGAUUGACCGAUUCCUCCACCAAUCGUUAGAGGGAAAAGUCCAUUCAACAAAGAUUUGUGCCAAUCAAAGCCUAAGCGGUCUUGGUCACCAGUCAUUUCCACCUGACGUUUUAGGGCCUCUUCAUCCACACGGAUCCCCAUUGAGGAUAAUUCAAAGGCUGAACCAAGUUGGUCAUUCCAAACCAAA